AUCCUACGGGAGGCAGCAGUAGGGAAUAUUGCUCAAUGGGGGAAACCCUGAAGCAGCAACGCCGCGUGGAGGAUGAAGGUUUUAGGAUUGUAAACUCCUUUUGUUAGAGAAGAUUAUGACGGUAUCUAACGAAUAAGCACCGGCUAACUCCGUGCCAGCAGCCGCGGUAAUACGUAGGGGGCAAGCGUUGUCCGGAAUGACUGGGCGUAAAGGGUGUGUAGGCGGUUUAUUAAGUUAGAAGGGAAAUACCUAGGGCUUAACCCAGGUGCUGCUUCUAAAACUGAUAGACUUGAGUGCAGUAGAGG
rnacentral:rRNA from 1 species